rnacentral:rRNA from 1 species
CCUACGGGAGGCAGCAAUUAGGAAUCUUGCGCAAUGGGCGAAAGCCUGACGCAGCGACGCCGCGUGACCGACGAAGUCCUUCGGGAUGUAAAGGUCUUUUAGCAGGGAAGAAGAAUGUGACGGUACCUGCAGAAUAAGCUCCGGCUAACUACGUGCCAGCAGCCGCGGUAAUACGUAGGGAGCGAGCGUUGUCCGAAGUUACUGGGCGUAAAGCGCGCGUAGGCGGUCGCUUAAGUUAGAUGUGAAAUCCCGCAGCGCAACUGCGGAACUGCAUCUAAAACUGGGCGACUUGAGGACGGGAGAGGGCAGUGGAAUUCCUGGUGUAGCGGUGAAAUGCGUAGAUAUCAGGAGGAACACCGGUGGCGAAGGCGGCUGCCUGGUCCGUUUCUGACGCUGAGGUGCGAAAGCUAGGGGAGCGAACG